rnacentral:rRNA from 1 species
UACAGGGGGGGCAAGCGUUGUUCGGAAUUACUGGGCGUAAAGGGUUUGUAGGUGGCUUGCUAAGUCAGACGUGAAAUCCCUCAGCUAACUGGGGAACUGCGUCUGAGACUGGUGAGCUUGAGUGCAGGAGAGGAACGCGGAAUUCCAGGUGUAGCGGUGAAAUGCGUAGAUAUCUGGAGGAACACCGGUGGCGAAGGCGGCGUUCUGGACUGCAACUGACACUGAGGAACGAAAGCCAGGGGAGCAAACGGG